AGACACAUACCGGAUAUGUCUUGUUGUCGCAACAAAACAAAAACCAGUCCUCUCCAUGUGUACAAUAUCUCUGUAUUUAAUGGUCGGAUUUGUCUCGUUGUCGCACCAAUAUUACUUGUUGUCGUAUAUUGUUUUAUGUUACCGAUAAAAGUUGAAUACUGAUUUUUGUCAAAUUAUGGAUAUGUCUGGUUAUUGCCGCCAGGUCUUCAUGUGUGCCCCCU